UGAAAAGCAGGGUCUGUUGCCUGUGUGAGCAAGCCUCUUGAUACCUUCAGGGAUACUAUAACUAUUGUUAUUGCGUGAGCCUAUUUUCCUUGUUUGUUACCGAAGGUCCGGUAAAUGACCUUUCAGGU